rnacentral:rRNA from 1 species
GGGAGGGGUGCGAGCGUUAAAUCGGGAAUUACUGGGGCGUAAAGCGCGCGUAGGCGGGCCUGAUCAGUCGGGAUGUGAAAGCCCUGGGCUUAACCCGGGAAUUGCACUCGAUACUGUCAGGCUAGAGUAUGGGAGAGGGAAGUGGAAUUUCCGGUGUAGCGGUGAAAUGCGUAGAUAUCGGAAGGAACACCAGUGGCGAAGGCGACUUCCUGGCCCAAUACUGACGCUCAGGUGCGAAAGCGUGGGUAGCGAACAGGAUUAGAUACCCUGGUAGUCCACGCCGUAAACGAUGAGAACUAGAUGUCGGGAGGAUUUACCUCUCGGUGUCGCAGCUAACGCGUUAAGUUCUCCGCCUGGGGAGGUACGCCGGCAACGGUA